CUACACUUAUGUUUUAAUGAUUAUCUUGAGCACCAUUCCUGUGAUCAUUUAUUUGAACGUUGUUAUAGAGAAAGAGGUCAUGCAAUUUGGUGGGCUUAUAAGUACGUCCAACACACUGCGCGAUGAUACAGUAGAUUGUGUGAUGAUAGAGACGGACAAGCCGUUGCUCUGGACCAUGGGAAUUUCCGUAUCAAAGGUUUUCCCAACAUGAUUCAUCCACAAUAUUAUAUUCAGAAUCUCCUUUGCUUUCCUAACUGCAAAACACAACUAUAACAGGCAAAGUUUUUACUUUUUCCUUAUUUACGACUGUAAUUGAGAGAGAGAGAGAUUCUUUCAAAUUUGUUUAUACCAUGGAAAAUGAGUGUACAUUUUCUUUGUUAUUUCUGUCUUUGAUUUAAUUACUUUUUAAGUAAAGUUUUGUAAGAAUAGUUUAAUAUGUACUAUUUUUUCUCGUGUGAAGGUGUAAAUAAAGGUGUGUCACUUACUCAAUUACUCAGUAUUAAAUUAAAUUAUAGUGUGAUGUAAGUUUUUAUUGAAAUACAUAUACUCUUAAUUUUGUAUUUGUUAUGUGUUAAUUGUGUCUGUCAGGAUCGUAAAAUUUCACAAAAAUUUCUUAUGAAAUGUUUUGUGUUAGUUAAUCUAGAUUAUUAGAGAAAUUAUUUAUCAUUACACCUCAUAACUAUCCAACAGUAUUUAAAUAAUUCAAAAAAAAAUUUUAAAACAUUUUUAUUAUUUUUCUUAUUACUUACCUCCCUCGCUGAUGUUAUCGCAACCAUCGCUGCAAAUUCCAUCGCCAGUAUAUGACAGCGAAAACUGCCGAUGAAGUUUGCAACGACUAUUACAAUUCUAAAAUGUUCUUUUUGAUGAGAAGCUUUGAACACCAGUGUGAAAUGAAUUUUACUAGGAAUGAUCUGCAAUUUAAAGUAAAAAUAUGCUAUCAAUUUCCUGUAAUCAUUUUACUUUUCACAUGUUUGUUUAAUAUUGAGUGGAUUUUAAGUAGUUAUAAUUUAUCACAAGGGUAGAGUCUACACACGACUCUAUUAUUAUACGUAUUUUAUGUAAACUUUGCAUCAAAAUAAUUUGCAAAACUAUUGGACAAAAAUCAAAACUCUCUGUUUUUAAUGACCACAAUUUUAAUUACAUUAUCUAAUUUAGUUAGUCACAUUUUAAUUUCAAGUGAUUGAACUGUCAAUCGCGAUCGUAAUAUCUGGACACCUGUCCCUUCUUCCCGCUUGUUUAUAUACUGACCCAACAAACAUCUAAAAUAUUGAAAAGGAAAACAAAUAAGUAGGCCAGCUGAAUGCAAAAUCAGCAAAUACAAAAAUUAGGGAAACUUUUAAGGAAAAAUUAUCGAGUUUGAUUUUGUCUGAUUUCUUCUUUAGAAAUUAUAUGUUUAAAAAAAACUGUUAUUGAAAAAAAAAUUACAUUGCAUUUUGGUUUCACAUGUACAUGUACCUUACCUGUGUCAUUCGACGAAUCCAGCAUUGUAAAUAAUUCAAAAUAUCGAUUCAUACUUUCAAAUACGUUUGAACACUUUGAAAAAAUUUGAGAGAUGUUUCUCAAAUUACAAUGUGGAACUUUCCUUGUUUCACUAUUUCUUUCACUUUUACAAUUAAACAUUUUUUGAAAAACGAAGAUAAUUAAUACCCCUUUUAAUGUUUAGUCGUUUGCUGGGAAACGGUUUGUUAAAUAUUAAUUUCCGUAACGGGAAGAUGCUAAGUGUUUUCAAUGGUUUCCUAUACUUGGAGUUAUUUAAGAAAGAUCUAUUUAAGGUAGUGUCUAUUUACAAUAUAUUUGAACGAUAAUGUGUUUUAAUCAUUAUCAUUUAUUUAUAUUUUCGUUUUUAAUUUGAAUAAUACACUAAUUUUUUCAUGGUGAUUUUGAAAUAUCUUUUUCAUUAUUAUUUUUUUGAAAACUGAAUUAAUAUUAAUUAAAUUUUUUUUUAUAAAAUUCCAUAGUUU